rnacentral:rRNA from 1 species
ACGAACGCUGGCGGCGUGCCUAAUACAUGCAAGUCGAGCGGACGGAUGGGAGCUUGCUCCCAGACCGUCAGCGGCGGACGGGUGAGUAACACGUGGGCAACCUGCCUGUAAGACUGGGAUAACUCCGGGAAACCGGGGCUAAUACCGGAUAACUCUUUCCCUCACAUUAGGGAAAGCUGAAAGAUGGCAUCUCGCUAUCACUUACAGAUGGGCCCGCGGCGGAUUAGCUAGUUGGUGAGGUAACGGCUCACCAAGGCGACGAUGCGUAGCCGACCUGAGAGGGUGAUCGGCCACACUGGGACUGAGACACGGCCCAGACUCCUACGGGAGGCAGCAGUAGGGAAUCUUCCGCAAUGGACGAAAGUCUGACGGAGCAACGCCGCGUGAGUGAUGAAGGUUUUCGGAUCGUAAAACUCUGUUGUCAGGGAAGAACAAGUGCCGGAGCAACUGCCGGUACCUUGACGGUACCUGACCAGAAAGCCACGGCUAACUACGUG